ACGGCUGGCCAGGGCUCCCUGAUCUAUUCAGGCUUCUGCUAUGGGGGCGAUGGCCAGUUCUGGUGU